rnacentral:lncRNA from 1 species
GCUGUGAUUCAAAGGCUUUAACAGAUUAGAGAAAAGUUCAUGUUUGAUUUUCUUGUUGACACGGUGAAAAAACAAGAUAAUUUAUAUGGUUCAUAAUGAUAAUUAGAGUUUGUAAUUAUUAUGUCUGAGUGUAAAAUUAAAGUCUGAGUGUAUUUUAAUUUAUAUUUUAAUUAGAUAAAAAAGUUUUGUAUUUUAAUUUAUAUGUUUGAUUAAAUCAAAGGAUAAAAAUGAUAAUUAUACUUUUAGAUUAAGUUUAAGACUUGAAAUUAAAUAAUGAAAAAAAAAAGUUAUAAGAUUUUUAAUUAUUGUUGGGUAUAUGAUUAAUUUGGGGUUUAAACCCUAACCCCUAAACAUAAAUUUUAAAAUUUUAAUAUUUUUAUAAUAUCAUUUUAAAAAUAUAAUCUCAAAUUUAAAUUAUAAACCUCAAACACUAAAUCUUAAAUCUACACCCUAAAUCUAAUACCCUAAACCCCAAACUUAAACCUUCCAUCUAAUAUUUUCAACUUAAAAUAUAAAUCUUAAACUUAAACUCAAAUUAGAUCAUUUUAAAAAUCUAAUCUCAAAUUUAAAAUCUAAACCUCAAACACUAAAUCUAAAUCUAUACUCUAAAUCUAAUACCCUAAACCUCAAAUAUAAAUCCAACAUACAAAGUCACUAACCUAAUCUAUUUCUAUAUUAAUUCUUAAAUUUCAAAGAUCCUACUC